ACCAGACUCCUACGGGAGGCAGCAGUGGGGAAUAUUGCACAAUGGGGGGAACCCUGAUGCAGCGACGCCGCGUGGGUGAAGGAGCGUUUCGGCGCGUAAAGCCCUAUCGGCAGGGAAGAAGGAGGACGGUACCUGACUAAGAAGCCCCGGCUAACUACGUGCCAGCAGCCGCGGUAAUACGUAGGGGGCAAGCGUUAUCCGGAUUUACUGGGUGUAAAGGGGGCGCAGACGGCAGCGCAAGCCAGGAGUGAAAGCCCGGGGCCCAACCCCGGGACUGCAUUGGAAACUGCGAGGCUGGAGUGUCGGAGAGGCAGGCGGAAUUCCUAGUGUAGCGGUGAAAUGCGUAGAUAUUAGGAGGAACACCAGUGGCGAAGGCGGCCUGCUGGACGAUGACUGACGCUGAGGCUCGAAAGCGUGGGGAGCAAACAGGAUUAGAUCCCCCCGUA
rnacentral:rRNA from 1 species